UAUGGAGCUUUAAUUAACUAUUCCAAAAGUUAAACAACUCAACCACAAAGGGAUAAAACAUAACUUAACAUGGACUAGCAAUUUCGGUUGGGGUGACCUCGGAGUACAAAAAACCCUCCGAGUGAUUUUAAUCUAGACAAACCAGUCAAAAUAACCAUAACAUCACUUAUUGAUCCAAAAUUUUGAUCAACGGAACAAGUUACCCUA
rnacentral:rRNA from 1 species